rnacentral:rRNA from 1 species
CUACGGGGGGCUCCAGUGGGGAAUAUUGCACAAUGGAGGAAACUCUGAUGCAGCAACGCCGCGUGGAGGAUGACACUUUUCGGAGCGUAAACUCCUUUUAUAUAGGAAGAAGAUGACGGUACUAUAUGAAUAAGCGCCGGCUAACUCCGUGCCAGCAGCCGCGGUAAUACGGAGGGCGCAAGCGUUACUCGGAAUCACUGGGCGUAAAGGCGUGUAGGCGGAUUAAAAAGUCAGAAGUGAAAUCCUAUAGCUUAACUAUAGAACUGCUUCUGAAACUCUUAAUCUAGAAUAUGGGAGAGGUAGAUGGAAUUUCUGGUGUAGGGGUAAAAUCCGUAGAGAUCAGAAGGAAUACCGAUUGCGAAGGCGAUCUACUAGAACAUUAUUGACGCUGAGACGCGAAAGCGUGGGGAGCAAACAGGAUUAGAUACCCUAGUAGUC